UAUAAGAGAAUGCGUCGAAAAGGGUUUGGUAAGCGUGGAGCAUGUUGCCGGGGUGAAACAAAAGGCGGAUAUACUCACUAAAGUACUUGGAAGAAUUAGGUUUAAGGAGAUGAGAGACUUGAUCGGGAUUCAAGAUGUGUCUAGAGGAGAUUACAAGUUUGAGGGGGAGAAUGUUGAUUCAAACUUGAAGUAGCUUGAAAGACAAGCAAUAACUUCCUAAUGAGUUAUGGAAAAGGAAGUUAGUUAUAUUUGAGAGUUAUCUAUUAGAAUGUGUUUCCUAAUGAGUUUAGGAUAUUGAGAGUUAUAUAUAAAGGGUACUAAUGUGUAGCAUGACCUAAGAGUGUGUGAGAAGCUUUAGUUUUGAGAUAUUUUCUAAAGCAUUGUGUGAGAUCAUUAAUAAGAGUUUGAGUUUGAGAUAAGAGUUUGAUUCAGUAGUCGGCUCGGCCUAUAAGAUUGAAAAUCAAGCCGCAGGUUUGAAAGAUGUACUUAAAGAAUUUCCCACAAGAGAAGCUUCUCGAUUUAGUUCUCAAGUAAGUAUAUACUCGUCUCUUUGCUCUUCUAUGUUAGAAUGUUGGAGCUGAACUAGUUUAGAAUAAGAAGUAACCAACAGUAUUGUUAUAGUAUUGUGUAAUUGAAUUAUCUGCCUUGUUCAACCUCAAAUAUCGAACCGUGCUUCGGCAAUAAAGCAAGAGAGAAACCCUUUUGACAAAGGAAGUGAACAAGAUUAGCAACUAUUGUAUCUCCCUAUGAGGAAAAUCAAACCCCAUUUUCUAGUUACGAAUUUGAUUUAAGACUAUAAUUGUUUUGUUUAGUGUUAAAGGCAAAAGAUGUAAUAUCUUGUUUUUUUUGUUUGUUUCAAGGGUUUUGGUUCUUUAGUAGCAAUACAAGAUAAUUAUGAUAUCAUACCACCAUGAGGGUGUCUAUAACCCAAGUUUCGGUUCUAUUGAAGAUUAAGACCGGUUAUACUUAUAUGAACAUUAGAUUCUUGGUUAUGUACUUAGUCAGUUUCCUUUAGCUAAUUUUGGUUAUCUAUUGGGGUUUAGUUUGGUCUAAUGUAACAAACUUCAUCUUCAACUCUCAAGCUUAAUCUGUUUUUCGUAAUAUGGUAUCAGUGCUAUCAUCAAAGUCGAAUGUCCAUUAAUCUUCUUAUAACCGAUCUUGAUCUUCAAUUUUUGAAUCUUAAUUUAAUCUUCAUAUAACCGGAUAUAACCGGUCUUGAGCUGCAUUUUUUUUUAUUGAUCUUCAAUAGGUUCAUUUUUUGUUUCUUAUGAAAGAGUCGUCAAACUAAAGAAAAAUCUGAGACAACCAGCUUAGUUAAAGAAAACAGAACAUGUGUCUAGUAGAUUCACUAAACGGGGACCAAGCCUCCAUGGUUUUUCUUCUGGUUUGUAUCUAAACAAGUCUGGUCGAAACGUAAAGUCGCAAAAAGGGUGCAAGUGGAUAAUAUAUUUAAACUCUGACAGCUGACGUCGUUUAGUAUAAGCAAGAAUUAAUGUAGCCUUUCCUAAUUCAUAAAUGAUUUACUCAUUUGUAAUUGCUUUUUACUUGUUAACGAUUUGUUAUUUGUUUUCUCAAGAAAAACAAGGCUUAAAUAAAUAACGUAGAAGAAAAGCUAAAAAUAAAGUUUAAAAUUGGUAAUAAUUAACAAUUUAAUGGGGUUGAGUUUAGCAGAGUUUGAUUUUUAACUAGUUUUACGCUCCCGUUGCUCGUCCGUCACGUGAUAAACGCCGCUAUGAUCGCAAAACGUCAUCAUCACGUGACUCCCCCCAAACCCAACCCCCAAGAAGAACAAAAAAAAAAAGAA